rnacentral:rRNA from 1 species
CGACCUCAGGUCAGGCGGGACUACCCG